AACGAACGCUGGCGGCAGGCUUAACACAUGCAAGUCGAGCGCCCAGCAAUGGGAGCGGCGGACGGGUGAGUAACACGUGGGAAUAUGCCUUUCGGUACGGAACAACUCAGGGAAACUUGAGCUAAUGCCGUAUACGCCCUUACGGGGAAAGAUUUAUCGCCGAAAGAUUAGCCCGCGUCUGAUUAGCUUGUUGGUGAGGUAACGGCUCACCAAGGCGACGAUCAGUAGCUGGUUUGAGAGAACGACCAGCCACACUGGGACUGAGACACGGCCCAGACUCCUACGGGAGGCAGCAGUGGGGAAUCUUGGACAAUGGGGGAAACCCUGAUCCAGCCAUGCCGCGUGAGUGAUGAAGGCCUUCGGGUUGUAAAACUCUUUCGACGGGGACGAUAAUGACGGUACCCGUAGAAGAAGCUCCGGCUAACUUCGUGCCAGCAGCCGCCGUAACAC
rnacentral:rRNA from 1 species